rnacentral:lncRNA from 1 species
AAGUCAGUACUCUGCUUCAACAGAAAUGGAGUGCUCGAGUGAAAAUUUUAGCAGAGUUUUGAGAUAGAGUUUAGAGCUUAGAAAAGAACGUAUCUGGGGGUCCCUUUUUAUAGAUGGAGAGCAUAACUGAUUGACAACGACGUCUAUAACUGCCUGGUAGUGGGCCGUUCAGAGCCGCACGGAGUUUGUUACAGAGAGUAGUGGCAUCAGGGGUCGUUCAGGGCCACGUGAAGUUUGUUAUGGAGAGUGGAGUGG